rnacentral:rRNA from 1 species
UACGUAGGGUCCGAGCGUUAUCCGGAAUCAUUGGGCGUAAAGAGCUCGUAGGCGGUUCAGCAAGUCGGCUGUGAAAGUCUGAGGCUCAACCUCAGAAUAGCAGUCGAUACUGCUGUGACUCGAGUCCGGUAGAGGAGAAUGGAAUUCUCGGUGUAGCGGUGAAAUGCGCAGAUAUCGAGAGGAACACCAGUAGCGAAGGCGGUUCUCUGGGCCGGCACUGACGCUGAGGAGCGAAAGCGUGGGGAGCAAA